GAUGAACGCUAGCGGCAGGCCUAAUACAUGCAAGUCAAGGGGCCAGUAAUGGCACCGGCGGACGGGUGCGUAACGCGUACACAACGUACCUUUGGGUGGGGGAUAGCAUCGGGAAACUGGUGGUAAUACCCCAUGGUAUUGGAAACUGGCAUCAGUUUUCAAUUAAAGACUACGCCCAAAGAUCGGUGUGCGUCUGAUUAGCUAGUUGGUAAGGUAACGGCUUACCAAGACGAUGAUGGGUAGGGGUCCUGAGAGGGAGAUCCCCCACACUGGUACUGAGACACGGACCAGACUCCUACGGGAGGCAGCAGUGAGGAAUAUUGGUCAAUGGUCGCAAGACUGAACCAGCCAUGCCGCGUGCAGGAAGACGGUCCUAUGGAUUGUAAACUGCUUUUAUACAGGAAGAAACCCUCCCACGUGUGGGAGCUUGACGGUACUGUAGAAUAAGGAUCGGCUAACUCCGUG
rnacentral:rRNA from 1 species